UACGUAGGGUGCAAGCGUUGUCCGGAAUUAUUGGGCGUAAAGAGCUCGUAGGCGGUUUGCCGCGUCUGCUGUGAAAACCCGAGGCUCAACCUCGGGCCUGCAGUGGGUACGGGCAGACUAGAGUGCGGUAGGGGAGAUUGGAAUUCCUGGUGUAGCGGUGGAAUGCGCAGAUAUCAGGAGGAACACCAAUGGCGAAGGCAGAUCUCUGGGCCGUAACUGACGCUGAGGAGCGAAAGCAUGGGGAGCGAACAGG
rnacentral:rRNA from 1 species